ACCCAGGGAUAGCUUAGUUGGUAGAGCAUGAGACUCUUAAUCUCAGGGAUCUAGGAUCGAGCCCCACAUUGGGCA